rnacentral:rRNA from 1 species
GGACGAACGCUGGCGGCGUGCCUAAUACAUGCAAGUCGAACGGUCUUUUCUAUGGAAGCUUGCUUCCACUGAGAAGAUAGUGGCGAACGGGUGAGUAACACGUGGGUAACCUGCCCAUAAGAGGGGGAUAACAUCCGGAAACGGGUGCUAAUACCGCAUAGUUUUCUUGAUCGCAUGAUUGAGAAAGGAAAGACGGCCUUUGUGCUGUCGCUUAUGGAUGGACCCGCGGCGUAUUAGUUAGUUGGUGAGGUAACGGCUCACCAAGACGAUGAUACGUAGCCGACCUGAGAGGGUGAUCGGCCACAUUGGGACUGAGACACGGCCCAAACUCCUACGGGAGGCAGCAGUAGGGAAUCUUCCGCAAUGGACGAAAGUCUGACGGAGCAACGCCGCGUGAGUGAAGAAAGGUUUUCGGAUCGUAAAACUCUGUUGUCAGAGAAGAACAAGUUGGAGAGUAACUGCUCCAGCCUUGACGGUAUCUGACCAGAAGGCCACGGCUAACUACGUGCCAGCAGCCGC